AACGCGUAUGCAAUCUACCUUUUACAGAGGGAUAGCCCAGAGAAAUUUGGAUUAAUACCUCAUAGUAUAAUGACUCGGCAUCGAGAUAUUAUUAAAGUCACAACGGUAAAAGAUGAGCAUGCGUCCCAUUAGCUAGUUGGUAAGGUAACGGCUUACCAAGGCUACGAUGGGUAGGGGUCCUGAGAGGGAGAUCCCCCACACUGGUACUGAGACACGGACCAGACUCCUACGGGAGGCAGCAGUGAGGAAUAUUGGACAAUGGGCGCAAGCCUGAUCCAGCCAUGCCGCGUGCAGGAUGACGGUCCUAUGGAUUGUAAACUGCUUUUAUACGAGAAGAAACACUCCUUCGUGAAGGAGCUUGACGGUAUCGUAAGAAUAAGGAUCGGCUAACUCCGUGCCAGCAGCCGCGGUAAUACGGAGGAUCCAAGCGUUAUCCGGAAUCAUUGGGUUUAAAGGGUCCGUAGGCGGUUUAAUAAGUCAGUGGUGAAAGCCCAUCGCUCAACGGUGGAACGGCCAUUGAUACUGUUAGACUUGAAUUAUUAGGAAGUAACUAGAAUAUGUAGUGUAGCGGUGAAAUGCUUAGAGAUUACAUGGAAUACCAAUUGCGAAGGCAGGUUACUACUAAUUGAUUGACGCUGAUGGACGAAAGCGUGGGUAGCGAACAGGAUUAGAUACCCUGGUAGUCCACGCCGUAAACGAUGGAUACUAGCUGUUGG
rnacentral:rRNA from 1 species